CACUUCUCGCGAUACCCGACGCCCGACUUGUGCGCCCGGGAAACCCCGUUGCUCCCUUUCCCCUGGCUGGCAGCGCGGAGGCCGCACGAUGCCUGGAGUUACUGUAAAAGACGUGAACCAGCAGGAGUUCGUCAGAGCUCUGGCAGCCUUCCUCAAAAAGUCUGGGAAGCUGAAAGUCCCUGAAUGGGUGGACACUGUCAAGCUGGCCAAGCAUAAAGAGCUUGCUCCCUACGAUGAGAACUGGUUCUACACACGAGCUGCUUCCACAGCACGGCACCUGUACCUCCGGGGCGGCGCUGGAGUCGGCUCCAUGACCAAGAUCUAUGGAGGACGUCAGAGAAAUGGGGUCAUGCCCAGCCACUUUAGCAGAGGCUCCAAGAGCGUGGCCCGCAGGGUCCUCCAAGCCCUAGAGGGGCUGAAAAUGGUGGAAAAGGACCAAGAUGGAGGUGCCAGGUCUGUCCUGCCGUCUGCACUUGCCCCUCAGGCGGGCAGGGGAUUCUGCAGAAAAGCGAACAGUGAGGGGCCUCACCCCGACCUCUCUGGCUGACUACCCCAAGCUCCAGGAAGGGGACGCAAACUGACACCUCAGGGACAGAGAGAUCUGGACAGAAUCGCCGGACAGGUGGCAGCUGCCAACAAGAAGCAUUAGAACAAAUGCUGGGUUAAUAAAUUGCCUCAUUCGUAA